rnacentral:rRNA from 1 species
GAUGAACGCUGGCGGCGUGCCUAACACAUGCAAGUCGAGCGGCAGCGAGGGGUGCUUGCACCCUGUCGGCGAGCGGCGGACGGCUGAGUAACGCGUGGGAACGUUCCCCAAAGUGAGGAAUAACUGCCCGAAAGGGUAGCUAAUACCGCAUAUUAUCUUCGGAUCAAAGGAUUUAUCCGCUUUGGGAGCGGCUCGCGUCGGAUUAGGUAGUUGGUGAGGUAAUGUCUCACCAAGCCGACGAUCCGUAGCUGGUAUGAGAGGAUGACCAGCCAGACUGGAACUGCGACACGGUCCAGACUCCUACGGGAGGCAGCAGUGAGGAAUCUUCCACAAUGGGCGAAAGCAUGAUGGAGCAACGCCGCGUGCAGGACGAAGGCCUUCGGGUUGUAAACUGCUUUUAUAAGUGAGGAAUAUGACGGUAACUUAUGAAUAAGGAUCGGCUAACUACGUG